GACGAACGCUGGCGGCGUGCUUAACACAUGCAAGUCGAACGGAAAGGCUCCAGCUUGCUGGCGUACUCGAGUGGCGAACGGGUGAGUAACACGUGGGUAAUCUGCCCUGCACUCUGGGAUAAGCCUGGGAAACUGGGGCUAAUACUGGAUAUGACCUUUCUCCUUAUGUGGUUUGGUGGAAAGUUUUUCGGUGUAGGAUGAGUCCGCGGCCUAUCAGCUUGUUGGUGGGGUGAUGGCCUACCAAGGCGACGACGGGUAGCCGGCCUGAGAAGGUGAUCGGCCACAUUGGGACUGGGAUAGGGCCCAGACUGCUACGGGGGGCAGCAGUGGGGAAUAUUGCGCAAUGGGCGGAAGCCUGAUGCGGCGACGCCGCGUGAGGGAUGACGGCCUUCGGGUUUUAAACCUCUUUCAGCAGGGACGAGGCGUAAGUGACGGUACCUGCAGAAGAAGCACCGGCUAACUACGUG
rnacentral:rRNA from 1 species